GAAAACUAAUCAGAUAAAUUUGAUUGACCGUGUACAAUUCUACCAUUUCUCUUGCAGCGUGCACAUUUUGUUUUGAUUCCUUUCGUCUUCUUCUUUUGCAUUAUUUAGUGCGCCGCCUGCUGCGAUUUUUGGCGAGUGAAUAAAAUAUGAUUUUGUUGGAGUGAUAUCAACAGUUCUAGAUAGUCCAGAUUAGAUAAAGACCCGGCACCGGCGUUUUGGAGAUUUCCGGAAGACGAAGUUCGAUGGCCUGAUGCUAUUCGGAUGAAGCCUUCAAACGACGAGUUAAUUGGCCAAAGAUUUUCCUGCAGUAAGUGAAUCGACCUGAUGCGGUCUCCAGCGCCACCGCUAACAUGCCGCGCAACACCUGAAAAACGCAGUCCAAGAUUGUGCCCUGCAACCUGGCGUUCUGGCGAAACGAAACCUAUCCCGUUCUGUUUCCUAUCGAGAGUCGUCAUCGACGGAACGCUUGGCUUGGCCUGGAUGGACACGAACAUGCGUAACGUGAUUUCCACACGUGGGUGAUUUCGCACGAGGAGCAAAAUCGAUCAUACAGGCACAUAGUGAAAAUAUUGGCCUCGCUUUGGCGGAGUCCGGAAUCACCACCAACAGUCUGCCUUUGUUCAAUACCUGCUCCUGCGGACUCUGAAAAGAUCCAGGCCGUAUUCCGCCGCCUGAACGCCAUCUACCGCUAGGGUACCUGAUACCGCUGCUGAGUGCUGAUCGUCGACCUGCAGGUGCAACA